CAGGAUCACCAAGGUCUCUCCUGCCCCGGGGCCUGUGCACCUGCUGUGCCUCUGCUUGGGGUGCUCUUCCCAGGGCUCGCUCACCUCCUCAGAGAGGACUCCUGACCCCUGACACGCCUUGCCCUUCACCUCUAUCGUCCUUUAGAACAGCCCCCACCUCCCGCACAUCAUGCAGUUGCAGGUUCAAUGGCUACUGCUUGUCCUCCAGAUUCGAAAGUAACUCGUGAGCUCUCCACAAGCCAACAGCUCUCUCCUGGCUUUGAUUUUCAACCAUUUAAGUUGAAAAAAAUUCAAAACAAAUGAAAUGCACUUAAGAGAAAGCCUUGAGGAGUUCAGCAGGCCACCCGAAGUGAAGGGACUCCUUUGGGGGUCUUUGUUGUUAUCAAUUAUUUAUUGAGCCCUGAUGUGUUCCUGGCGCCACCAAGACCGAGAGGAGACAGGGUCCCUGCCCUGGGGCAUCCCAACAAAGAAGGGAGAGUUUGUGAAGCUUAAAAAUGUCCCAGAUGAGUUUCGCUCUUAUUGCCCAGGCUGGAGUGCAAUGGCGCGAUCUCGGCUCACUGCAGCCUCCACCUCCAAGGUUCAAGCAACUCCCGUCUCAGCCUCCCUGAGUAGCUGGGAUUAUAGGCGCCCGGCUAAUUUUUUGUAUUUCUAGUAGAGACGGAAUUUCGCCAUGUUGGUCAGGCUGGUUGCUUACAUUUCUUUAUGUCAUAAAGCAGGCUUCAAAACGGAAA